AGGAUGAACGCUGGCGGCGUGUUUAACACAUGCAAGUCGAACGAUGAAGCAGAGCUUGCUCUGUGGAUUAGUGGCGAACGGGUGAGUAACACGUGAGUAACCUGCCCUUGACUCUGGAAUAAGCGUUGGAAACGACGUCUAAUACCGGAUACGAGCUUCCGCCGCAUGGUGAGGAGCUGGAAAGAAUUUCGGUCAAGGAUGGACUCGCGGCCUAUCAGGUAGUUGGUGAGGUAAUGGCUCACCAAGCCUACGACGGGUAGCCGGCCUGAGAGGGUGACCGG
rnacentral:rRNA from 1 species